CAUGCCGCGUGCAGGAUGAAGGCCUUCUGGGUUGUAAACUGCUUUUAUCAGGGAAGAAAACGCUCCUGCGGGAGUAACUGACGGUACCUGAUGAAUAAGCACCGGCUAACUCCGUGCCAGCAGCCGCGGUAAUACGGAGGGUGCAAGCGUUGUCCGGAUUUAUUGGGUUUAAAGGGUGCGUAGGCGGCCCGUUAAGUCAGCGGUGAAAUCCCACGGCUCAACCGUGGAACUGCCGUUGAUACUGGCGGGCUUGAGUUCGGUCGAGGCGGGCGGAACUGGUGGUGUAGCGGUGAAAUGCAUAGAUACCACCAAGAACCCCGAUUGCGUAGGCAGCUCGCUGGGCCGAAACUGACGCUGAGGCACGAAAGCGUGGGGAGCGAACAGGAUUAGAUACCCUGGUAGUCCACGCCGUANACGAUGAGUACUCGAUGUUGGCGAUACACAGCCAGCGUCCAAGCGAAAGCGUUAAGUACUCCACCUGGGGAGUACGCCCGCAAGGGUG
rnacentral:rRNA from 1 species